GCCUUUGUGGUUGAUCAAUAACAUCUGGUUAGCAAACAGAAGGUCUGGAGUUUAAAUCCCAGCAAAGGCA
rnacentral:tRNA from 1 species